rnacentral:rRNA from 1 species
GUCGAGCGAUGGAUUGAGAGCUUGCUCUCAAGAAGUUAGCGGCGGACGGGUGAGUAACACGUGGGUAACCUGCCCAUAAGACUGGGAUAACUCCGGGAAACCGGGGCUAAUACCGGAUAACAUUUUGAACCGCAUGGUUCGAAAUUGAAAGGCGGCUUCGGCUGUCACUUAUGGAUGGACCCGCGUCGCAUUAGCUAGUUGGUGAGGUAACGGCUCACCAAGGCAACGAUGCGUAGCCGACCUGAGAGGGUGAUCGGCCACACUGGGACUGAGACACGGCCCAGACUCCUACGGGAGGCAGCAGUAGGGAAUCUUCCGCAAUGGACGAAAGUCUGACGGAGCAACGCCGCGUGAGUGAUGAAGGCUUUCGGGUCGUAAAACUCUGUUGUUAGGGAAGAACAAGUGCUAGUUGAAUAAGCUGGCACCUUGACGGUACCUAACCAGAAAGCCACGGCUAACUACGUGCCAGCAGCCGCGGUAAUACGUAGGUGGCAAGCGUUAUCCGGAAUUAUUGGGCGUAAAGCGCGCGCAGGUGGUUUCUUAAGUCUGAUGUGAAAGCCCACGGCUCAACCGUGGAGGGUCAUUGGAAACUGGGAGACUUGAGUGCAGAAGAGGAAAGUGGAAUUCCAUGUGUAGCGGUGAAAUGCGUAGAGAUAUGGAGGAACACCAGUGGCGAAGGCGACUUUCUGGUCUGUAACUGACACUGAGGCGCGAAAGCGUGGGGAGC